UUAUUUUUUGUAUUUUUAGUAGAGACGGGGUUUCACCGUGUUAGCCAGGAUGGUCUCAAUCUCCUGACCUCGUGAUCCACCUGCCUUGGCCUCCCGAAGUGCUGCAGGUCACACAGCCUGAUCCACUGCAGGGCAGCAGCUCCAGGCAGGGCACCCGAGGAGGGUUUCUCUAGCAGUGACAUCGGCCUCAGAGGUGGGGCGGGUGCAGUUAAGGGCUGUGGAGGGACACAGUGCAUGAGGCCAGUGCAGAGUGACUGUGGGCAGGGGGACGAGGCUGGGGGCCCAGAGCACUUGGUCUUGGAUGUAUGGCUUUGGAUGAGACCGUAGGGCCACCACCACCCUAGGGUGCUUGCAGAUGGUGGGGAGGGCACUCUGGACGCAUCUACAAAUGGCAUUUGCACAGGUCACAGAUGAGCAGAUGCUCAAAGAGUCGAUGGCUCCCAAAGG
rnacentral:lncRNA from 10 species